rnacentral:hammerhead_ribozyme from 1 species
AUCCAGCUGACGAAUUCCAAAUAGAAUGAAACGCUCGUCCUGGAU